rnacentral:rRNA from 1 species
AACAAACGCUGGCGGCGUGCCUAAUACAUGCAAGUCGAACGGGGAAAGCUUUCGGGUGAGUACUAGUGGCGCACGGGUGAGUAACGCGUGGAUAAUCUGCCUUAGAGUGGGGGAUAACUAGUCGAAAGAUUAGCUAAUACCGCAUAAGACCACAAGAACUGCGGUUCAAGGGGUCAAAGGUUUUUCGCUCUAAGAUGAGUCCGCGUAAGAUUAGCUAGUUGGUAGGGUAACGGCCUACCAAGGCGACGAUCUUUAACUGGUCUGAGAGGAUGAUCGAUCACACUGGAACUGAGACACGGUCCAGACUCCUACGGGAGGCAGCAGUAGGGAAUAUUGGGCAAUGGACGCAAGUCUGACCCAGCCAUGCCGCGUGCAGGAAGAAGGCGUUCUGCGUUGUAAACUGCUUUUAUAUAGGAAGAAACGACCCUUGCGAGGGGCAUUGACGGUAUUAUAUGAAUAAGCACCGGCUAACUCCGUGCCAG